rnacentral:snRNA from 1 species
AUCGCUUCUCGGCCUUUUGGCUAAGAUCAAGUGUAAUAGGAAGACAUCCCACUUGUUGAUUGUUUUUCCUAUUCUUUUUCUAGAAGCUUAAGGUUCUGCAUUUGGUUGUUUAUUUGAGAUCCCUCUGUUUUCCUAAUAUGAAUAUUUACU